rnacentral:rRNA from 1 species
UACAGAGGGUGCGAGCGUUAAUCGGAAUUACUGGGCGUAAAGCGCGCGUAGGCGGCUUUGCAAGUCGAGUGUGAAAUCCCCAGGCUUAACCUGGGAACUGCAUUCGAGACUGCAUAGCUAGAGUAUGGGAGAGGGAAGUGGAAUUUCAGGUGUAGCGGUGAAAUGCGUAGAUAUCCGGAGGAACACCAGUGGCGAAGGCGGCCGCCUGGACCUGACCUGACGCUGAG